CGCUGGCGGCGUGCUUAAUACAUGCAAGUCAACGACUUUAGAGUAGCAAUAUUUUAAAAGGAGUGGCGCACGGGUGAGUAACACGUAGGUAAUCUGCCUUCAGGACUGACACAACUCGUCGAAAGACGGGCUAAUAUCAGAUAAUGCAGCGGCUCCGCAUGGAGACAGUUGUUAAAGUACAAGCGCCUGAAGAUGAGCCUGCGGUCCAUUAGCUAGUUGGUAGAGUAACAGCCUACCAAGGCAACGAUGGAUAGCUGGUCUGAGAGGAUGAUCAGCCACACUGGAACUGAGACACGGUCCAGACUCCUACGGGAGGCAGUAGUAAGGAAUAUUGCUCAAUGGUCGAAAGGCUGAAGCAGCAACGCCGCGUGAAGGAUGAAUGGCCUUUGGCCUGUAAACUUCUGUAAAAAGGGAAAACAAUCAGGCAUGUCCUGAUUUGAUUGUACCUUUGAAGUAAGCCCCGGCUAACUACGUG
rnacentral:rRNA from 1 species